AAUAACGUCCCAAAAUAAACUAAUUAAAAAAAAGGUACUAAUUCUCGUCCGAUCACUGAAGUCAAGCAGCGUCGGGCACGGUCAGUACUUGGAUGGGUGACCGCUUGGGAACACCGUGUAAUGUUGUCU
rnacentral:rRNA from 1 species